GAGGUAUCAGUGAAAGCUGUGUGCUUAGUGUGCAAAGAGAGCAUCACUGUCUUGAAAGACUACAACUUGUCCCGACACUUCCAGACAGCAUGUAGAGAAAUAUAGGAAUAUGUCUUCUAAGCAGAAGGCAAGUGUAUUGAAAGAGUUGCUUUCUCAGCUGCAAGAGCAGCAAGGACUUUUCACAAAACUGCAUUCAGCAAAUGACGGAAUUGCGAGAGCUGGCUAUGUACUGUCCCACAAAAUUGAUAAACAUAGCAAGCCAUUCGCUGACUCUGCACCAAUAAUUUGCCCUGACAAGAAAGAGCUGUUUGAAAAUGUUUCCAUGUCAAGACGAACAGUGACACGGCAUGUUGAGGACAUCGCAGGGAAUAUGGAACAACAGCUGAAAGACAAGAUGCACAGUAUCAUCAGCGUCUCUGUCCCUGUUUGGUCAAAGGAGAGAACUCGACGAAGGAAUCAUUGGGGCAUGCACUAUACAUCCACCUUUUCAACUAGAGGUCCGAUCACAAAGGCUCAUCAUCUGCAACUGUGAGAGAAGGCCCCCCACUUAGUGUAUUUGACAAGCUGAGUUGGACACUCAGUAUGACAGGGUGUCAGUUUGUCAAAUACCCCAAGUGAGGGGUCACUUGUCUGCUGAGCAUCUCCCACCAGACUGACUUCAAAGAAGAUCACUUCAUAAACUUUCAAGUGACUUUCACUGUUACCCCGUUAGACUUUCUCAGGCAAAACAUUUGAUUGUGUGAUAGUGUACAUGAUCCUGCACGGUCACUAAUGUCUCAUGUAUUCGUGUGAGUUUGUAUGAUGACACUUGGUACACUGUGUAACAAAUGUGUGUGUCCCUGUAUUAAAUACUGCAUAAGAACUGGGUAAACUUGAGGUUCCUAGCAUAUGUAAAGACGAUGUGUUUAGACAAAUACGUAGAAAUGGAAUAGAGAUAACUUUUCAUCAGGUUUCUAAUACACUUUUUGUAGGCCUAAAUUAAGUACAUAAGGGUGACUGACCCACUACCAAUGUCAAGUAAUCACUGGGUGACACACUGGCACGGCGAGCGAUGGCACAUUGCUCUACAAUGCUCAGCACAAAUUGGUUAUCAUGGAAGAAAUUAAAGGAGAGUUUCUUCUAAUAUGAAACACAACGUUGCUUUCAAUUAACGGAGAUAUAGAGCAGUUGGAGAUAUAUCACUUAUUUAUAGGGCGGCAGGUAUCCUACGAUUAGAGCCUUAGACCUGAGCCAACGAGGUGAAAAUUCUGUCGACGUGCCCUUGAGCAAGGCACUUAACCCUAAAUGCUCCAGGGCUGCUUUUGAUAAUGGCAGACCUUGGCUGUGACCACACUCUGAGGGAGUCUCAUGGACAGAUGGUAUAUGCACAUUUACAAUUCACACAUGCUUAUUAACGUGUGAAAUAGGACAAAUAUAAGCACACACCAAAUUAUUAUUUAUCUUGCAAUCUAUGCUUUUACAAGGCCUAUUAUUAUGUUCAAUAACCUGCCUUUGGAUAAUUCUGUAAAAUACCACCCUUUAUCUGUCAGACCCACAUGCCUUCCUGUGCUCACAAAGCCACAUGCGCUUGAGUAAGAGCGGAUAUCUGUACCAUCUUGUGAUUAGAUAGCAGUGUUUGACUCACAUACUGCAUAGCAACGGCAACAGAUCGAUUGACUGAUUUAUUGGGCAAAAAGAUGCAACCCAGGGGAUAACACAUUAAAGCAAAAUGAACUUGUUUCCAACGUGGUCCCUGAUGGAAUAUACAAAAUGCAGAUAAAAAAAAUUGUAAUCCCUACAGUACGUGGAACUAUCUAUCACCCAUCAUUAUCAUUUGUCAUCAACACUGAAUAUCAUUGUAAUCUACCGACAUGGUACCAAAACAACCCAGUAUCACUACACUGUGCACUGAGUGUACAAAACAUUAUGAACACAAUCAGUGUAGAUGAAGGGAAGGAGACAGGUUGAAGAAGGAUUUUUAAGCCUUGAGACAAUUGAGACUUGGAUUGUGUAUGGGUGCCAUUCAUAGGGUGAAUGGGCAAGAAAAAUAUAAGUGCCUUUGAGCAGGGUAUGGUGGUAGAUGCCAGGCUCACCGGAUUGUGUCAAGAACUGUAAUGCUGCUGGGUUUUUCACACCCAACAGUUUCCCAUGUGUAUCAAGAAUGGUCCACCACCCAAAGGACAUCAAGCCAACUUGUGGAACGCUUUCAACAUCUUGUAGUGUCCAUUCCCCGACUAAUUGAAGCUGUUCUGAGGAAUCCUGUGUGAACUAGGGCUUUACUACUCCUGUAUGAGAGGAAAAAACAUUAAACAAAACCAAAUAUGGGACUGAGUCACAAAAUUCAACAACCAAGACUUUACUCAUUAUAGCUUAUUCAGUCAUUAUCAUAAUUUCACUUUAAAUGGGAAUAGUGUUGCUUGCCACAUUGUGAUAAAGAAGCAGAUGCAUUCUGUCACAUGUUUGUUUAUUAUUAAUUUGUCAGUUGCUGAUUUAGUGAUUACUCUACUCAACACUCCUUUUAUUCUGGUAAGUUACCUCAGCUAAAUAGAAAAUGUCACAGAUAUGGGCUUUACCUGUUUAUGACUGUUAGUUGUUUUUUAGUGCAUCAUUUCUGUGCAGUCCUUAAAGCCACAGUCUGUAUUUUUCUGUAAUUAUAAAUAAUGAAAUAUAUUUAGAUUUUGCAGAGUAGGCUUUGACUUAUAAAGACCUUAUUAAGAUUAGUAACCUACAACUGUCUUACCUUACCAAAAUACUAAGGACCUAGAACAUCAACUUGUUCAUAUUUUUGUUGUCACUGGAGAAUUUCUUCACACAUAUAUCAUCAAGAAGUCCCUGUUACAGCUCUCAAUUUGAGUCCCUGUUAUAGCUCUCACUCUCUACUGUUACACUGGUGGCAGAGUUGGGAUUUGUCCUGUCUCAGGCAUCAGGGAAGUGUUCUCCGGUUCAAAGGUAGGUUUUAUGCUUGAGGACUCUUCUCGAAAGAGGGGGAGUACUGUAACAGGUGUACAGUAUUUGAAUGUUGUACUGCCUCACAGAGGUCCAGGUUUUUGUGGUAGGCUACAGACUGUUAGGCACUCAUCUCUGCACCAUAGGGGAUUCAGUUCAGUCCCCCUUACAGCUUUCACUCUCUCCUGUUAAACUCUAUCACCACUUGUAUCUUUCUCAUAGAGGUGAUGAAUUAGUCUUUGAUUAAAUGCAAAUCAACUGCAUAAUGAUCAGCAUGACAUCUGUGCCCUGGGGGUGUACGGCUACUGUGGCCAGAUAAUCUAAUUGACUUAUUAUUAAAAUAUGUCUGCGCACUGUUGAUUAUGUUUGACAUUUGUUUUUCAUCGGAUGAUCAUCCAAAUUGGCAUAAUUGUAAGUGUUGGCUAUCACUUGUUUUAUAUAUUUAUAAGGAAAUGUUUACUUUAUGAAAACUCGGAUUGUUUUGUAUUACUGUAACAUAUGUUCUGUUUUUCAGGCCAGAUUUGUGAAAAGCACAUGGGUCUUUGGGAAGACCAUACGUCAUGUCAGCCGAUUCAUGCAGUACUGCUCUGUUCAUGUGUCAGUGCUGUCCCUAGUGUCAUUUGCCCUAGACAGACAUCAAGUAACUAACUUGCUGUAUAUGCUUACUUUCUUCUUUUACAAAAGAGCCACAUGAUUUUCACAUGGAAAAUCACUACCAUGUCGGUAGAUUACAAUGAUAUUGUCACAUCCUGACCAGUAAAAGGGGUUAAUUAUUAUUAAGUAAAAGUAAAAAAAGUAAAAGGGGUUAAUUGUCAUUGUAGUUUGGUCAGGGCAUGGCAGGGGGUGUUUGUUUUGUGUGUUUCGGGUUUUUUGAUUUAUGUUCUAUAUUUUCUAUUUCUAUGUUUAAUUCUAGUUUUCUAAUUCUAUGUUGUGUUUUUUCAAUGACCCCCAAUUAGAGGCAGCUGGUUGUCGUUGUCUCUAAUUGGAGACCAUAUUUAAGUGUGUUCGUUUUCACUUGUGUUUGUGGGUGGUUGUUUCCAGUAUAGUCUGUGCACCUUACUGGACUGUUUUUCGUCGUCUGUUUAUUUUGAUUAAGUGUUUUCUUUAAUAAAUAAGAAGAUGAGCACUUUACCCGCUGCGUUUUGGUCCACUCCAUACGACGCCUAUGACAGAUAUUCAGUGUUGAUGACAAAUGAUAAUGAUGGGUGAUAGCUCCAUGUACUGGAGGGAUUACUAUGUGUUUUUGGAACACUUCACGUGAUAAUAUUUUGUGAUCACAACCUUUCCCAUAUUCAUUCAAAUUUUCACCUGAAUAUUUUUCAUGAGAUUUCACCGGUAGGAUACACACAGUGUUUUUUCAACUUGCAUAUUUGAUACACAUUCUGUAUGUUUAUUUAUACAGUAAUUAUUAUUCAACAUGUCCUCACUUACCAAAAUCAACUAUUGUAUACUUUAGCAGCGCUUCCCUUCCUCCUGGGAUUUGAACUCACAACGGCAUUCCGAUCUUCCUGCUUCGCCACCAUGUCUUUUUCAAUGAGCGAUUUCACCCGUAUUCCUACACUAUGGACUUCAAAGUAGAUUUCAGCUUUGUUGAAAACACACUCAAAACAAACUAUUAUAUUAUACUGAUUCAGAAGUACCAUUAAACCAAAAGAAUAGGCCCAACCAACAUUAGGCAACUAUACCGAAAACUCUAACAUUUCUGAAACAACUAAAUGAAAUCCAUAAGAGAAUAGUCAUAAUAACAGAUAACAAAAAUAACAGUGCAGAUGGCAAACUUUUUGCUAAGUGCAGUGAUGUAUUAUAAGUUAUAAAUGUGUGGAGGAAUGCUAUAGACUAUGUGGCGCAGCAGAAAGAGCAGUAUACCAUAAAUCCAGAGGUUACAAGUUCAAAACCCAGCUGGG
rnacentral:lncRNA from 1 species